UACGAAGGGGGCUAGCGUUGCUCGGAAUCACUGGGCGUAAAGGGUGCGUAGGCGGGUCUUUAAGUCAGGGGUGAAAUCCCGAGGCUCAACCUCGGAACUGCCUUUGAUACUGGGGAUCUCGAGUCCGGAAGAGGUAAGUGGAACUGCGAGUGUAGAGGUGAAAUUCGUAGAUAUUCGCAAGAACACCAGUGGCGAAGGCGGCUUACUGGUCCGGAACUGACGCUGAGGUGCGAAAGCGUGGGGAGCAAACAGG
rnacentral:rRNA from 1 species